UACGUAGGGUGCGAGCGUUGUCCGGAUUUAUUGGGCGUAAAGAGCUCGUAGGCGGUUUGUCGCGUCGGCCGUGAAAUCUCCACGCUUAACGUGGAGGGGCCAUUCGAAACUGCCGUGACUCGAGUCCGGUAGGGGAGUGUGGAAUUCCCGGUGUAGCGGUGAAAUGCGCAGAUAUCGGGAGGAACACCAGUAGCGAAGGCGGCACUCUGGGCCGGUACUGACGCUGAGGAGCGAAAGCGUGGGGAGCGAACAGG
rnacentral:rRNA from 1 species